rnacentral:rRNA from 1 species
GUUCUUCGGAACUAGAGACCGGCGCACGGGUGCGUAACGCGUAUGCAAUCUACCUUUUACAGAGGGAUAGCCCAGAGAAAUUUGGAUUAAUACCUCAUAGUAUAUAGCCCUGGCAUCAGGAUUAUAUUAAAGUCACAACGGUAAAAGAUGAGCAUGCGUCCCAUUAGCUAGUUGGUAAGGUAACGGCUUACCAAGGCUACGAUGGGUAGGGGUCCUGAGAGGGAGAUCCCCCACACUGGUACUGAGACACGGACCAGACUCCUACGGGAGGCAGCAGUGAGGAAUAUUGGACAAUGGGCGCAAGCCUGAUCCAGCCAUGCCGCGUGCAGGAUGACGGUCCUAUGGAUUGUAAACUGCUUUUAUACGAGAAGAAACACUCCUUCGUGAAGGAGCUUGACGGUAUCGUAAGAAUAAGGAUCGGCUAACUCCGUGCCAGCAGCCGCGGUAAUACGGAGGAUCCAAGCGUUAUCCGGAAUCAUUGGGUUUAAAGGGUCCGUAGGCGGUUUAAUAAGUCAGUGGUGAAAGCCCAUCGCUCAACGGUGGAAUGGCCAUUGAUACUGUUAGACUUGAAUUAUUAGGAAGUAACUAGAAUAUGUAGUGUAGCGGUGAAAUGCUUAGAGAUUACAUGGAAUACCAAUUGCGAAGGCAGGUUACUACUAAUUGAUUGACGCUGGUGGACGAAAGCGUGNGUAGCGAACAGGAUUAGAUACCCUGGUAGUCCACGCCGUAAACGAUGGAUACUAGCUGUUGGAAGCAAUUUCAGUGGCUAAACGAAAGUGAUAAGU